UUUCUUUACACCUUUUCAAACUUUCUCCUCCAGCAGCUCUUUUGCUCCCAAGAUCUCCAACGGCUCUUUCUGAUCUUUGGGUUUUUUAAUCCCAAGAUCUUUGGGUUUUUUACAAUUCUGGUACUGACAGCUACCCCUUCACUGCAAUAUCUACGACAGUCCAAGCAAUGGACAGAUUUUGAACGCCGAUUCUGGGUGAAGCUGUUGUGCGCGUCUGAAGAUGGCGAAUGUUGUGGGCGGUUCUUUUGGUGAUGCCCAGAAAUAUGUGUUUGAUUUAGGGUAAUUUGCGGGGACUUGACUUUUGAAGAAGAUGCAACUGGGUAAGUUAAGAAUUGUGGAAGAUGCAAGUGGGUAAGUUAAUGCACUCACAAUAUAACAGAAUAAUUCUAUCAAUUAAUAAAAAUAAAAAACGGAAUAAUUCUUCAACUAAAUAAAUUGAUAGAAAAGAAUUCGUUCUUUACUUCUAUUUAUUAGUAAACCAUGUUUUUCCUCUGUUUUCUCUGCACUCUUUCAAACUUUCUCCUCAGCCUCCAACUACUUUUUCUGAUCUUUGGGUUUUUUAGUUUUAUUUUGGAAGGUUAAGAGUUGUUCAGUUUCGUAUUUAGGGUUUUGGCUUUGUUAUAUAAUUUUUUUUACAAUGAACUAA